CUUUAUGCUCUGCUAGCUGGUCUUGUCCUUAAAAAUCUAUGAAUUAAAUUCUUCCAAUUGUCUGGACUUCUUGUAUUGAUACACCCAGCAUGUGGUGUAUUGUCUGUAAUGCUACUGCACACGUUCUGUUACAGGCAGCUGUUCUUGCGUCCAUAACUUUUCAGACUUCUCUGGCUCGUUCACCUUGAUUUUAUUUUUCCUUGAUAUUAUAUCUUUUACAUAGUUGAAGUCAAGGCAGUUGCCUGGUAAAGAAAUGUGGUGCUGCUGUGAACUGAGCAGUGGAGGAAAUUCCUUAAAUGAAGUCCAAGGAGAAACUGGCUCUGGUCUUACUGUUCUGGCUAUUUACUUAUCACAGACAAACUAAAACAGGACUACUGGCUUAGUUGGGAUAUUUAAUUGUAAAUCCUAAUUAAAAUAUAAUUCCUUUUUUUGUGUGUGUGUUAAGCAAAUUUGUCUGAGUUUGUGUGUGGUGUCAACUUAGAGUGCUUCCUUUUUCUUUGCCCAUGGUCCCACAGGUGCUUGAAAGUCACUGGCAGCAGUAACUGCAUGUUAGAAAGCCAAACAGUGCAUUUAUCCUUACCAAAAGGACACCUUAUGAGUCACAGCCAAACAAGAUCUCCGUGCAGUUCUCCAAUUCAUAUGCAGCCUUUUUUUUCAGUCUGAGGCUGUUUAAUAAGCCGACAGAAAAACCUCUGCUUCCGUUUUCUUUCAGAAUUGCUAUUUAUCAGAGCAGUCCUGGUUUCAUAAUGAACAAAUUGCCAAUUCCAGAAAAACAGGUGCCUGCCCUGCCCCACUUCAUACUUUGUGCCUAACUUACACAACUUGCAAAGUCUGUCUUCUGGCAGCUUUAGCAGCUCCAUACUCCAACACCUUUUCUCAUCUAUAUGCUGUCACUUUCUUGUGUGCUGCUGAAGCUGAUUGUGGAACCGGGCAGUAAAAUGGCUUUGGGAGCCAAUUUGGUUUUAAAAAUAACCAUAUUCUUGCUGGGUUAUUUUAAAAAUAGAUCAUUUUUCUAAUCACAUUUAAAGUGUAAUCCAGAAAAUAGUCGUGCUGUUCUAGCCGAGGGAGCAUUAAACUGAUACAGCGAGUUAAAAAAAAAAAAAAAA